rnacentral:lncRNA from 1 species
CCGCAAGGGCCAGGGUAUCCGAUGGGAGGUACGUCGGAUUUCUUCAGCUAUAACCCAUAUCCCACCUUUAUGCCCUAUCCUCCCUUUUACCCACAGUACCCCAUGUUUCCAUCCUCACCCUUUUUCCCAGGUCCAGCAAACCCUAACCCAGGGAAUGCUGCACCUCCUCCUCCACCAGCAGAACCAAUUGUCCCUGAUGUCCAGAUACCCAA